rnacentral:rRNA from 1 species
GAUUCUGGCUCAGGAUGAACGCUAGCGACAGGCUUAACACAUGCAGGUCGAGGGGCAGCAUAAAAGUAGCAAUACUUGGUGGCGACCGGCGCACGGGUGAGUAACGCGUAUGCAACCUACCUAUCAGAGGGGAAUAACCCGGCGAAAGUCGGACUAAUACCGCAUAAAACAGGGGCACCGCAUGGUGAUAUUUGUUAAAGAAAUUCGCUGAUAGAUGGGCAUGCGUUCCAUUAGGUAGUUGGUGAGGUAACGGCUCACCAAGCCGACGAUGGAUAGGGGAACUGAGAGGUUGGUCCCCCACACUGGUACUGAGACACGGACCAGACUCCUACGGGAGGCAGCAGUGAGGAAUAUUGGUCAAUGGGCGGGAGCCUGAACCAGCCAAGUCGCGUGAAGGAAGAAGGAUCUAUGGUUCGUAAACUUCUUUUGCAGGGGAAUAAAGUGCAGGACGUGUCCUGUUUUGUAUGUACCCUGAGAAUAAGGAUCGGCUAACUCCGUGCCAGCCGCCGC